rnacentral:rRNA from 1 species
AGCCUGAUGCAGCCAUGCCGCGUGUAUGAAGAAGGCCUUCGGGUUGUAAAGUACUUUCAGCAGUGAGGAAGGGGUGUACGUUAAUAGCGUGCAUCUUUGACGUUAGCUGCAGAAGAAGCACCGGCUAACUCCGUGCCAGCAGCCGCGGUAAUACGGAGGGUGCGAGCGUUAAUCGGAAUUACUGGGCGUAAAGCGCAUGCAGGUGGUUUGUUAAGUCAGAUGUGAAAGCCCGGGGCUCAACCUCGGAAUUGCAUUUGAAACUGGCAGACUAGAGUACUGUAGAGGGGGGUAGAAUUUCAGGUGUAGCGGUGAAAUGCGUAGAGAUCUGAAGGAAUACCAGUGGCGAAGGCGGCCCCCUGGACAGAUACUGACACUCAGAUGCGAAAGCGUGGGGAGCAAACAGGAUUAGAUACCCUGGUAGUCCACGCCGUAAACGAUGUCUACUUGGAGGUUGUGGCCUUGAGCCGUGGCUUUCGGAGCUAACGCGUUAAGUAGACCGCCUGG